UACGUAGGGACCAAGCGUUGUUCGGAUUUACUGGGCGUAAAGGGCGCGUAGGCGGUCUUCUAAGUCUUGUGUGAAAUCCCUCGGCUCAACUGAGGAACUGCACGGGAUACUGGAAGACUUGAGUUCGGGAGAGGGAAGCGGAAUUCCAGGUGUAGCGGUGAAAUGCGUAGAUAUCUGGAGGAACACCGGUGGCGAAGGCGGCAUCCUGGACCGGCAUUGACGCUGAGGCGCGAAAGCCAGGGGAGCAAACGGG
rnacentral:rRNA from 1 species